rnacentral:rRNA from 1 species
GGCAAGACGGAAAGACCCCGUGAACCUUUACUAUAGCUUGACACUGAACAUUGAGCCUUGAUGUGUAGGAUAGGUGGGAGGCUUUGAAGUGUGGACGCCAGUCUGCAUGGAGCCGACCUUGAAAUACCACCCUUUAAUGUUUGAUGUUCUAACGUGGACCCGUGAUCCGGGUUGCGGACAGUGUCUGGUGGGUAGUUUGACUGGGGCGGUCUCCUCCUAAAGAGUAACGGAGGAGCACGAAGGUUGGCUAAUCCUGGUCGGACAUCAGGAGGUUAGUGCAAUGGCAUAAGCCAGCUUGACUGCGAGCGUGACGGCGCGAGCAGGUGCGAAAGCAGGUCAUAGUGAUCCGGUGGUUCUGAAUGGAAGGGCCAUCGCUCAACGGAUAAAAGGUACUCCGGGGAUAACAGGCUGAUACCGCCCAAGAGUUCAUAUCGACGGCGGUGUUUGGCACCUCGAUGUCGGCUCAUCACAUCCUGGGGCUGAAGUAGGUCCCAAGGGUAUGGCUGUUCGCCAUUUAAAGUGGUACGCGAGCUGGGUUUAGAACGUCGUGAGACAGUUCGGUCCCUAUCUGCCGUGGGCGCUGGAGAACUGAGGGGGGCUGCUCCUAGUACGAGAGGACCGGAGUGGACGCAUCACUGGUGUUCGGGUUGUCAUGCCAAUGGCACUGCCCGGUAGCUAAAUGCGGAAGAGAUAAGUGCUGAAAGCAUCUAAGCACGAAACUUGCCCCGAGAUGAGUUCUCCCUGACCCUUUAAGGGUCCUGAAGGAACGUUGAAGACGACGACGUUGAUAGGCCGGGUGUGUAAGCGCAGCGAUGCGUUGAGCUAACCGGUACUAAUGAACCGUGAGGCUUAACCUUACAACGCCGAAGGUGUUU